AUGCACUUUGCCAGGCCUGGCAGGUGUAAGGGACUGCCUUCAUGGGAGGUGACCUUUGUGUGGAGGAUGCUUUGCAUUUCUGGUACGGACAGUCUGCCUGCUGUUGCUUCUCUCCUCUACAAGUACACUAGGAAAUGCCCUUCCAGUCAGCUUGGCUCCAGUUAAUUUGGGAUAAUUAGCUACAGAGCCUACGAGCCUCCCCGGGUGUGGAGAUGCCUGCUGGGUGGCAGAGGAAUGAAGUGCAAGGCAGGGGUCCCCGGACAGGUGAGCUCAAGGCAGCUGGCUCUGAGUCCCCAAGCCCCAGC
rnacentral:lncRNA from 1 species